AAGAGACGUUGCCCUUCGGGGUAUACCUCCCACCCUUUGUUUAUUAUACCUUUGUUGCUUUGGCGGGCCCGUCCUCGGACCACCGGCUUCUGCUGGUCAGUGCCCGCCAGAGGACCCUAAACUCUGUUUUUAUAAUGUUUUCUGAGUAACUAAGAUAAUAAAUUA
rnacentral:misc_RNA from 1 species